UAUCCUAUACACCUAGUUUUUAUGUAUACGAUAUAUUCACCUGCACAUAAUACUUUAACUAGAUAUAUUUGGAUCACUUACCAAAUAUCGAGAGAGUUGUUCACUAAAUGCAUACCAUUCCUUGCCAUCAUGGCUAUCAAAGGGAGGCUCAUACUAAAAAAACAGCCGAAACCUUUUUGCAACGAUAGUUUGCGCGGCUUAACUUAUAGCUUGGAAAAUGGAACCAACAACCCAUUGGAUAUUUCACCUCAAAUAUUCCCCAUGCUUUCCAAAUCAAAGUCUGAUAUUCUAACAAAUGCGGCCAUAAAGAAAAAUAUUUGCGAGCCCCUAAAAAACCAUCCGUUGGAAUCAGAUACCGACUCAAUUCAGAAGAGUUUGAAUCAUUCAUCUAUUUCAAAAAAUGACCCGGUAUUUUCACAUUCCGUUUUGAAACGAAUGAAAGAAAUAAAAGUAGAACACGAAAUGCAUAUUAGAACCGUUUUCAUUCUCACCCUGGAGUUUCUGUUUCUUAUGUUACCUGUCACGUUAAUGCAAAUGUCGAUGGAUUUUUUUAUUAUCAGAUACAACGAGUUAUCUUUGUCAUUGAUUUAUGCUGUUUUAAAUACUCUGGAAUUCAUUUACGUAAGUAUGACUUUUUAUAUUAACUUCUUAUUUAACCGCCUAUUCCGACGAAGCGUACUGCAGCAACUUGAUGAGUUUAAAAAAUGGGUUACAAAAAAAGCACCCAACCCACAAAACAUACCAGAGGAAUAAAAAUUUCCACUAUCAUGCCAUGGAUGAGAGCGAAACUUGGGGAAAAUUAUGGAACGAGAACGGAAACAGUGAUUACUUGCAUGGAACAGUUCCGAAACGUCCCUAAGAUUAAAUUUAAACAAAAAUCUUGAUUUAAUUUUAUUACAUGAUUAUAAAUAUCCUAUAUUAUGAUAUUACCCAUUCGGUAUGUGUUAUUUAAGAUUAUAAAAACUUUUUUUAAUAUAUACUAAUUAUGAGACUGUGGAUUUUAAUGGAGGUAAAUUUUUUGUUAGCAUUGUCUGUUAAA